GGGAACGGUCUGCAGCCACUGACACCAGCAACUUCCCCAGCAAACAAGACUCCUCUGAACUUGUGUCUCUCUGAAUGGACAACCACACCCCAGAAAUCACUGCAAAAGUCUCAGACACGUCUGAAGAGGGGACUGACAGGUUGGCCGGAGGGAGCAAGAGGACCUUCCUUCCAAGGUGGGAAGAGCCUGGUCGCCAGAGUCCCCAACUCCAGCAUCUCAGAACCUCCAGCACUGACAGCAGCCUCAACCUGUGAGCAGUAUGUCCAGUGCCCAGCAAGCUUGACUCAUAAUGGAUUCUCAAUAAAGGUGGACUGAAUACGCCAACAAUGACGAGAUGGAUGCACGGAUGGAUGGGUGACUGGUUAAAAAUUAAAUAAAGGGGCAUUUUUAAUGCUUAAUUUCACACAAGGCUGUACCAAGAUCAUUGCUGGCUGACUUUUAUCUUCAAAGCUAUGUAAUCACGGACAGAAAAACUCACCAUGCUAAGUAAGACAUGGGGA